ACACGCAUGACACACUGCAUAUCAAUAAGCGGAGGAAAAGAAACUAACAAGGAUUCCCUUAGUAACGGCGAGUGAAGCGGGAAGAGCUCAAAUUUGAAAUCUUCAAGGUUUUACCUUGACGAAUUGUAGUUUAAAGAAGUGUUUUCUGUUGAAGUUUUGGUAAAAGUUCUUUGGAAUAGGACAUCAUAGAGGGUGAGAAUCCCGUAUUUGACCAUUAUUUUCAGCUGUGUGAUACACUUUCAAAGAGUCGGAUUGUUUGGGAAUGCAGUCCAAAAUGGGUGGUAAAUUUCAUCUAAAGCUAAAUAUUGGCGAGAGACCGAUAGCGAACAAGUACCGUGAGGGAAAGAUGAAAAGAACUUUGAAAAGAGAGUUAAACAGUACGUGAAAUUGUCAAAAGGGAAGCGUUUGACACCAGUGUUGUUUCUCCGAAAAUCAAUUACGAAUGUUUUAUUUUUGAGAAGUUAUGACUUCAUCAGGCUUGCUUCUUUCUUUUCCUGAAAUUAUUGAAUGCACUUUUCGAGUUAACAAGUCAACAUCAAUUUCUUUUGUUGUAAAAGGGUAAUGAGGAAGGUGGCUUACUCUUUCGGCGUAAAGUGUUUAUAGCCUUGUACCUCUGCAAUCGGAGAGAUUGAGGAUCUAGCAGCGUAGACUCCUUCGGGGGUUAGAUACACUUGUGCUAAGCUAUAGCCUUGUAUAGACAACUUGUUGACUAUGCUCAGUCAUGUAGCUUACUCGCUUAGUGCUAUUUUACCUACGCUUAGGAUGUUGACUGAUAUGUAGUCGUA
rnacentral:rRNA from 1 species